GGGCGGCAUUCGGGGCGCCUCUUUUUGAAACGGCGAUUAUGAGAGGAAACUUCAAAUUGAUUUUCUGAAUCGGUUCCUGGGAUGGUGAGAAUUGAUGGGGUGGUUUUUUUUCGGAGAGAGAUGUGCGGGAAGGAAAGAAAUCGAAGGAAGAAAACAUGGAAGGAGGGAUUUCGUUAGGUGCAGAGGAGACGAGCACGAGCUUCUCGUGCUCGCUGGCGUUCGAGAUGGGAUGGGCCGGCCCAGUUGGGUCGGUCCAUUCCUUUUUUUUUCCAUUUUCUGUUUUUAUUAAUAUCUUUUGAUUCCUAACUCCAAAUAAGGGCAAAUAAACUCGAGUAAAUUUGCAAAUUCAAAUCCUCCAAAGUGUGAACUUUUGGGACUUGAAUCCUUUCAAAAUAAAAUAAGUAAAAAUACUUUUGCUUAUAUAAAUGUCAUUUGGGCUUUAUAAGUAAUACACAAAAUAGGUUUUG
rnacentral:lncRNA from 1 species